UGGGGGAUAUUGCACAAUGGGCGAAAGCCUGAUGCAGCGACGCCGCGUGGGGGAUGAAGGCUUUCGGGUUGUAAACCUCUUUCGCUAUCGAACAAGGCCCGCUUAGGGUGGGUUGAGGGUAGGUGGAGAAGAAGCGCCGGCUAACUACGUGCCAGCAGCCGCGGUAAUACGUAGGGCGCGAGCGUUGUCCGGAAUUAUUGGGCGUAAAGGGCUUGUAGGCGGCUUGUUGCGCCUGCUGUGAAAACGCGGGGCUUAACUUCGGGCGUGCAGUGGGGACGGGCAGGCUUGAGUGGGGUAGGGGUGAAUGGAAUUCCAGGUGUAGCGGUGGAAUGCGCAGAUAUCUGGAGGAAAACCGAUGGCGAAGGCAGGUCACUGGGCCAUUACUGACGCUGAGGAGCGAAAGCAUGGGUAGCGAACAGG
rnacentral:rRNA from 1 species